rfam:Oryza sativa Japonica Group DNA, chromosome 1, cultivar: Nipponbare, complete sequence.
AAAAAGAUAAACCUUGGAUUUCCGUGUCCAACGUUUAAUUAUUUGUCUUAUAUGAAAUUUUUUUUUAUAAUUAGUAUUUUCAUUGUUGUUAGAUGAUAAAACAUGAUUAAUACUUUAUGCGUGACUUGUCUUUUUAAUUUUUUUUUAUAUAUUUUUAAAUAAGAUGAACGGUCAAAUAUUGGACAUGGAAACCCAUAGUUUGUCUUUUU